UGAAUUGACGGGGCCCGCACAAGCGGUGGAGCAUGUGGUUUAAUUCGAUGCUACACGAAGAACCUUACCAGGGUUUGACAUGCAAGUGGUAGGAAACUGAAAAGGGACCGACCCUUCGGGGAGCUUGCACAGGUGCUGCAUGGCUGUCGUCAGCUCGUGUCGUGAGAUGUUCGGUUAAGUCCGCUAACGAGCGCAACCCUCACUGUGUGUUAUAUGUGUCACACGGGACUGCCGGUUUUAAGCCGGAGGAAGGUGGGAUGACGUCAAGUCAGCAUGGCCUUUAUAUCCUGGGCUACACACACGCUACAAUGGUCGGUACAAUAGGUUGCCAAGCCGCGAGGCGGAGCCAAUCCAAAAAAGCCGGCCUCAGUUCAGAUUGUAGGCUGCAACUCGCCUGCAUGAAGAUGGAGUUGCUAGUAACCGCAGGUCAGCAAUACUGCGGUGAAUACGUUCCCGGGUCUU
rnacentral:rRNA from 1 species